GAUAGAAACCGACCUGGCUCACACCGGUUUAAACUCAGAUCAUGUAAAAUUUUAAAGGUCGAACAGACCCAAACAAUUAACUUCUUCAUCAAUUAUAAAUUUUAAUCCAACAUCGAGGUCGCAAACUUUUCUUUCGAUCAGAACUCUAAGAAAAAUUACGCUGUUAUCCCUAAGGUAGUUUUCUCUUUUAAUCUUUAACUUGGAUCAUUUUAUUCAUAAAUCUAUGAUUCUAUAUAAAAAAAAGUUACUUAAAUUUUUCUAUCACCCCAGCAAAAUAUUUUAUCUAUUUUAAAACUUUCAAUAAACCUUAACUUUCUAAAACAAAUAUAAAUAUAAAACUCUAUAGGGUCUUCUCGUCUUCUACAACUAUCUAAGCUUUCUUACUUAAAAAUAAAAUUCUAUUUAACUUUUAUAGAGACAGAUCUUCCCUCAUCGAACCUUUCAUACAAGCUUUGAAUUAAAAAACUAAUGAUUAUGCUACCUUUGCACGGUCAAUAUACCGCGGCCAUUAAACUAUUCAUUGGGCAGGCCAGACUUAAAAUCAUAAUCAAUAAGCC
rnacentral:rRNA from 1 species